AGAGUUUGAUCUGGCUCAGGACGAACGCUGGCGGCGCGCCUAACACAUGCAAGUCGAACGAGCGAGAGAGAGCUUGCUUUCUCGAGCGAGUGGCGAACGGGUGAGUAACGCGUGAGGAACCUGCCUCAAAGAGGGGGACAACAGUUGGAAACGACUGCUAAUACCGCAUAAGCCCACGGGUCGGCAUCGACCAGAGGGAAAAGGAGCAAUCCGCUUUGAGAUGGCCUCGCGUCCGAUUAGCUAGUUGGUGAGGUAACGGCCCACCAAGGCAACGAUCGGUAGCCGGACUGAGAGGUUGAACGGCCACAUUGGGACUGAGACACGGCCCAGACUCCUACGGGAGGCAGCAGUGGGGAAUAUUGCACAAUGGGGGAAACCCUGAUGCAGCGACGCCGCGUGGAGGAAGAAGGUCUUCGGAUUGUAAACUCCUGUUGCUGGGGAAGAUAAUGACGGUACCCAACAAGGAAGUGACGGCUAACUACGUGCCAGCAGCCGCGGUAAAACGUAGGUCACAAGCGUUGUCCGGAAUUACUGGGUGUAAAGGGAGCGCAGGCGGGAAGACAAGUUGGAAGUGAAAUCUAUGGGCUCAACCCAUAAACUGCUUUCAAAACUGUUUUUCUUGAGUAGUGCAGAGGUAGGCGGAAUUCGCGGUGUAGCGGUGGAAUGCGUAGAUAUCGGGAGGAACACCAGUGGCGAAGGCGGCCUACUGGGCACCAACUGACGCUGAGGCUCGAAAGUGUGGGUAGCAAACAGGAUUAGAUACCCUGGUAGUCCACACCGUAAACGAUGAUUACUAGGUGUUGGAGGAUUGACCCCUUCAGUGCCGCAGUUAACACAAUAAGUAAUCCACCUGGGGAGUACGACCGCAAGGUUGAAACUCAAAGGAAUUGACGGGGGCCCGCACAAGCAGUGGAGUAUGUGGUUUAAUUCGACGCAACGCGAAGAACCUUACCAAGUCCUGACAUCCCUUGACAGACAUAGAAAUAUGUAAUCUCUUCGGAGCAAGGAGACAGGUGGUGCAUGGUUGUCGUCAGCUCGUGUCGUGAGAUGUUGGGUUAAGUCCCGCAACGAGCGCAACCCUUAUGGUCAGUUACUACGCAAGAGGACUCUGGCCAGACUGCCGUUGACAAAACGGAGGAAGGUGGGGAUGACGUCAAAUCAUCAUGCCCUUUAUGACUUGGGCUACACACGUACUACAAUGGCGUUAAACAAAGAGAAGCAAGACCGCGAGGUGGAGCAAAACUCAGAAACAACGUCCCAGUUCGGACUGCAGGCUGCAACUCGCCUGCACGAAGUCGGAAUUGCUAGUAAUCGUGGAUCAGCAUGCCACGGUGAAUACGUUCCCGGGCCUUGUACUCACCGCCCGUCA
rnacentral:rRNA from 1 species